AGACGGAGGGGGCUAGCGUUGUUCGGAAUGACUGGGCGUAAAGGGCGCGUAGGCGGUUUUUUAAGUGAGGCGUGAAAGCCCUGGGCUUAACCCAGGAGGUGCGUUUCAGACUGGAAGACUUGAGUGCGAGAGAGGAAAGUGGAAUUUCUAGUGUAGAGGUGAAAUUCGUAGAUAUUAGAAAGAACACCCGUGGCGAAGGCGGCUUUCUGGCUCGCAACUGACGCUGAGGCGCGAAAGCGUGGGGAGCAAACAGGAUUAGAUACCCUGGUAGUCCACGCUGUAAACGAUGAGUGCUAGACGUUGGGGGGGAACCUUCAGUGUCGCAGCUAACGCAUUAAGCACUCCGCCUGGGGAGUACGGUCGCAAGAUUAAA
rnacentral:rRNA from 1 species